rnacentral:rRNA from 1 species
AACAAACGCUGGCGGCGUGCCUAAUACAUGCAAGUCGAACGGGGAAAGUAGCAAUACGAGUACUAGUGGCGCACGGGUGAGGAAUACAUGGGUAAUCUGCCCUCGAGCUCGGGAUAACCAGUCGAAAGACUGGCUAAUACCGGAUAUGACCACAAGAUCUGAGGAUCAAGGGGUAAAAGGUUUUUCGCUUGAGGAUGAGCCCAUGUGGGAUUAGCUAGUUGGUGUAGGUAACGGCUCACCAAGGCGACGAUCCCUAACUGGUCUUAGAGGAUGAUCAGUCACACUGGAACUGAGACACGGUCCAGACUCCUACGGGAGGCAGCAGUAGGGAAUAUUGCACAAUGGAGGAAACUCUGAUGCAGCGACGCCGCGUGAGUGAUGAAGGCCUUCGGGUCGUAAAGGCUCCUGUCGUAUGGGACUAACAAAAUGAAGGUACCAUGCAAGAAAGGAUCGGCUAACUUCGUGCCAGCAGCCG